UACAGAGGUCUCAAGCGUUUGUUCGGAUUCAUUGGGCGUAAAGGGUGUGUAGGUGGCGCCGUAAGUCGGGUGUGAAAUUUCGGAGCUUAACUCCGAAACUGCAUUCGAUACUGCGGUGCUUGAGGACUGGAGAGGAGACUGGAAAUUCAUGGUGUAGCAGUGAAAUGCGUAGAGAUCAUGAGGAAGACCAGUGGCGAAAGGCGGGUCUCUGGACAGUUCCUGACACU
rnacentral:rRNA from 1 species